UGUCGGGUCCCAAAAUACGUGGUCUAAAGUCCUUUGGGCUCCUGCCGCUGCCAGCACUGAUCAUAUGCUCUUGACCCUGGUCGGGUGGGGGGAUGUCUGGAUACCUCCUCUGUGGAAAGAACUGGCCACACAUCCGCAGAGGUGACUCGGGCUGAGAACCCAGGCUCCUCCUCCCUUUGGUGACACGCCCCUCGGUCCCUCACUGGCACUUCUCCCUCCGGCCACACGGCGGCGUCUCGCCAUAGCGCAGCGGCCGAUGGUACAGCCCGCUCCCCCCUCGCGCUCUCGGACAGUGGGUCCUUCCACUUGUAGAAAAGCAUUGUGGGACGGAAGCCUGUCCUUUCUUCCUUUUGGUGCGAGCUUGCUGUGGUUUUUGCUCUGGGUCCUCUGGGAUGGCGCCUGGCUGUGGCCGCGUGGUCUCUCACGCAGGGGCGCCGGGCGGGGGAACGCGGCCACCCUGAGUCUGGUGAGUCGACUGCGGCGGCCUGUGUCCGAAGUGUCCGGGGCCGUGAACAAGGGCAGCGGCCUGGCCUCAGGCCUGCGUUCCCACGUUUGGAAACGGGGAGCUUCGUCGAUUUGUGUUUACAUCAUCGACUAUGCCAGGGAGUUCUCCAGAUAAGCCUGGUUUUAUUUUCGUCAGUGAAAAGGCCUUACCGUAUAACUGACUUUAUGCUUGCCCUGCCCCCGUAUAAAAUAACUUAAAAGCAGCGUGCCUGGUUACAGCUGUUUCCACGUGCGGUGCUCGUCGGGAGUGAUCACCUACCCUACAGGUGGAAGAUGGAUGCCUGAAGUGUAGACUGCUGCUAGCUGAAUACCAUCUGGGAGCAUAAAGGUGACCUGAAGGAUGUCCUUGGUGAGGAUUUUGAAAAUUUGAUCUUCACAAGAGUUGCCUGGAUCAUUUGAAAUUUCUGGGAGUCUGAGGAGUACUGACAUAAUUACCUGCUGGAGUCUGUAAAUACACAUUUAAGACAGUGAGGAUGUGAAUAAAUAUAUUAAUGCACUUUGGCAUUUGUGUUUUAAGUGAUUAACUGCCAGAAACAGCUAUUUCUAAAAAGUUAUAAGGGAGGAGGGGUUCUUUUUUGAUCAGUAUUCACUGCUGUCACCAUAAUUAAUAGCCUUAAAAUAGCUUGUGUUUGGCCCAAAGAGAAAUGUACUUUCUUCCAGUGACUCAAAAAUCGUGGCUAGAACUAGACUGAUUUCUAGUGACAGGUGUGCUUUACUGCACUCAAUGCGUAUUUUUCCUCCAACUAAAUUGUACAUUUAAUGUUGCCAUAUCUUCUGCCUUUGCUUUGCAGGAAACGACAAAUAAUGUAUAGAGGUAUUCAAAAAAUUUAUUGAAAGCACUGUACUAGGAGCUGAGAACACGAUGAUGAGCACAACACAGUUCUUCCCUUUGGAAACAUAGAUAAGUGGAGGGAAUGUCAUCACAAAUGUAAAACUUCACUAUGAGAUGAGUUCCGUGAUAGGAUUUUCUUAGGGAAACCUGAGAAAGAGUUGAGACUAAAGGUAUGUGUCAUAUUUUUCACAAGGCAAAACUGGGGGAAUGACAUAUACAGAGGCUUGGGCUAGAAAAAAGAUACCGUUAGUCCACUUACUUUUGAGACAGUUUUGGCUGCUUUCCCUCUUCAGUGCCCUGUUUUAGAACUGAGUCCUUACUGAGGCUUGUAAGAUGGCUAUUAUGGGAGGUGAGAGUGUUACAAAAUGAGGCUGAAGAGGUAGGUAAAGAAGCCAGACCACUUCAGGCUCCCUCUGGCUUUAUUAAAGCAAGAUAAAUCCAUGGUGGAAAAUCAGAUUUGCAAGAAAAGGUAGUUGAACUAGGUUGCUUAUUGUUGUCUAGACAAGAGACCAGCUUGGACUAGUAAAAUUAGUGAAAUAAGAUCGUUUAUAGUUGGAUGACAGAGCCAACUAGACGUGGUAAUAGUGGAGGUGUCCAUAACUGCUAGGUGUCCAGCUUGCACACUGAUGAGCAUAAUGACCCUAGAUUCAGCUGGGGAGCAGCAUUUAAACAGCUGAAUUUUUAAAUUACCUUUGAGAAACCCAAAUGGUCUUUUUGCAGUAGCACAUUACUCAGUAGUCUAAACUACAGAAAUAAACCUUAAGGCCAUGGGUAUAAAUGAGAUCUGCUGGUGGUAGAGGAAGAGGGCCUAGGGUCUGAAGUUUGAGAAACUCCACUAAUUAAUGGCAAGGUAAAGCAUGAUAAGCCAGAAAGGAUGGUCAGUGGUAGGAGCAAAAUAGGAUUAUAUUAAAGAAGCAAAAGAAUGUCCUAAAAAUUCUCCCUGGGAUUAAGUAACACAGUGAUUGAUAUUAGUGGAGUAGAGGGAAAGAUCCAUGUUAGAGAUAGCUUAAGAUAGGGAUUAGAUGAAUUGAGGGCAAUGACUAAAGAUACUGCUUGCAAGAAAACUGGCUGAGAAUGAGAGGAAAAUCUUAGUUGCUUGGCGGGAGGGGGUUUGUGGUUGUGAAAGAUAGUUUUGUUUAAUCUUAGUCUUAAAUUUAAAACCAAGUAGCAAGGAUCUAGCUGAGAGAAUAAUUGAAUACAUUAAUAUAGGAGGACAGACAAAGAUCCUGAAAAGGCUGGGAGAAGAGCAUCCAAAGCACAGGUGGAGAGACAAAAAGGUUAGGGCUGCUGGCAGCUGUGGAGAGAACUGUACGUGGUAAGGGGGAGAUAUAAGAUGUCCUGCAUAAGUAUUUUCCCUGUAGAUUGCAAAGUCAUCUAUGGAGAGGAAAGGUACAAAAUAGUCACUGGGGAGAGCAGGUGAAUUAGAUGGCCAAGCAGGGUGGAUGGAUCAUUUGAGGUUUGGGGUGACAGAUCAACUGAGAUCCACUUACACUUCUGAAAACGCAAGAACACUUUAGAAAUUAACAACACUUAAAGCUUUUUACAUCAUUUGUAAAUAACUGGUGGAACUUAACACCACAAAAUAAAGUAUUAUAAAGAACUUUAUAUGAAUAAAAAUAUAUGCAGUCUGAAAGUGAUGCCUCAGUCCUUUUGCAUCUGGGCACUAGUUGAGAACCAGCCCAGCCCUGGGAAGACGUCCUCCCACUUGUACUAUUGCACAGCAGGCUAGCUGCAGUUCAGAAUUCCAGAAUGUUCAUCAGAUGCAUCUGGUCUUGGUUGUGGUGGACACAGACACAAGAUAGAAAUGAAUGAUUGCUAUCCUGUUCCAGAAAUGAAAAUGUGGUAUCAAGUGAAUUUUUACAAAAUACUUAUUCUUCCAGUUAAAACAAAAAGGUCCUUCAGCACAACUGUGCUGUAGUUAAACCAUGGCCUAUAAUCCCAGCACUUUGGGAGGCUGAGGCAGGCGGAUCACUUGAGGUCAGGAGUUCGAGACCAGCCUCCAACAUGGCAAAGCCCUGUCUCUACUAAAAAUACAAAAAGAAUUAGCCGGGUGUUGUGGUGCACGCCUGUAAUCCCAGCUGCUCGGGAGCCUGAGACAGGAGAAUCGCUUAACCCAGUAAGUGGAGGCUGCGGUGAGCUGACACGGUGCCGCUGCACUCCAGCCUGGGCGACAGAGUGAUAACAUCUCAAAAAAAAAAAAAAAAAGAAGCAAAAGAUAAUGUAUUUUCUCAUGCUGAAGAAAUACUUGCAGGUCUGAGAUUUGAAUUAAGAUACCUAUUUCACAGUUUCAAAAGUACCAGUGGCGCACACAACCUUCCCACCCCUACCCUUGACCCUUCAUCAGGAUCAAGUCUCUGUCUUGAGGCGGGAAGCUUGUAUAGUUUUUAUUGUUUUUGCUGUGUGUUUUCCAGCCAGGUUGUUUGUAGAUGUCUGAGGUUUUUCUUCCAUCAGGCUAUCUUUAGACCCAUUUCUUCUCUAAAAUAUAUUUGAAAAAUGUAGAAAGAUUCAGAAGAAAACAGCCAAAUGAAGUAUUUUAAUUACAUCAGAAACCAAGCUGCUCUUAAAUUUAAGAUACUGAGUUAAUUCAAAAGUUUCAUAAUACCAAAAGCUAUUCAAUAAAUGUUCCCUCUAAAUAGCUGUGCAAAAUAAAGUUUGUAUUUAAACUUUAAUAUACAAAGUUAGUCUGACAUUUACAUGCAUAACGAUUUUAUUCAUGAAUAUUAGGCAUAAUUCACCCAAAUCAGUGUCAUUACUUUUGUUAACAAUUCCCAAACCAGGCUCUCAACCUCACUCUUCCAAACAGGAUAGUGAUGGAGACUUGGAGGCAAUUUAUAAUCCCCUGAUUAUAUUUUCAGUAGUCAAUGAAUGGAACAAUGUCUUGUGAGCCCCUAUCACUUGUCUCAUACGGAGAAACAGGGCAGCUCAUUACCAGAGCCUGGGCACCACAUCCACUAGUUUGUAAAACUUAGGUUUUACACAUCUCCCAUCAUCACUGGUGGAGGCUCUGAGAAUGACACUAACUCACAACUACUACUUCUUAUGCGAACCCCUCCUCCUCUUACUUCCAAGGAUGGUCUAACAUUGUCAGUGUAUCAGGCUGGCAAGCAUAUUUCCUUCCCCAAAUGUAUAUUCCCAUAAAUAAUGGGCUAUACCGUCCCAAUCUAUUUUGAGAUUUGUUUGAGCUAAAAAUAAAUAAAUCCCUCUUAAAAUGCAGCUACCUUUAAUCUGUUCCUAUGACUGGCUUAAUUUGUUUUACUGACAUUCAAAAAGCACUGAUGGAAUAAUUAUUCUGCCUAUCAUGGGAAGCAUGAACCCAUCUAUUUGGGAUGGAAGAUUUCUAGAUAGCCAGAGGUGGGAAGAGAACACCAGUGAAUGUGAGAGGAGAAUACAGCAGAAGAAUUACCAGAAAAAAAGUGCUAGGAGAGGACCUGAAAUAAGUACUAUGUUGUAAGUUUGUCUAGGAUUGAAUCUGUCCACUCUGCAGACCUUAAGAAAUUAAGUUGCUAUUCUUCCCCAUUCUUAGCAGCCUUUGCGUGAAAAGGCAAGGUGAGGUGUAAGGCAGGUCACUGCCAGAACUCUGGUGGCAUUGUGGUGGAAAUUAGAACUUAAAGUUGUACCUUAAAAAUGUACCUUUCCAGCUUCCACUGGUCACUCCAGCCCCUUCUCCGCUUGGCAGCCAGAUGAGUGGCUUCCUUUUAGCACUUGGAAUAAAACAGUAAGAUCCAAACGCUUCCCACAGCCUUUAAGUCCCUGUGUUAUCUGCCUUUCCCCUCAAGCUCACUGCAUGUUGGUCUUUCAGCUCCUCAAAUACCCAGGCCCUCUCCAGAGUCAGCAUUUUCCCUACAUUCCUCACUCUGAUUACAUCAGCCUUGCAGCCACUCACAUGGCUAGCUCCUCACCUGCCAGGUCUCAGCUUUAAAUGCCACUCUCUGAGAUGGCCUCUGACCACCCUAAACAUGUAAAGUGAGGUCACUUUGUUGCUUCUCUAGCUCAGGCAUUUCUUUGUAAUGCAUACUCCUAUUUGUUUUAACUGUUUACUUUUAUGCCUCCAGGUCUAGGCUAGGGUCAUCAAACUUUUUUAUAAAGAGCCAGACUGUAAACUACAUCCUGUUUGUGUCACGUGUUACUGUUAUUUUGUUUUGCUUUUAAACAACCCUUUAAAGGUGUAAAAACCAUUACUGGCUUCUGGGCUGUACAAAGGCAGCAGACUAGAUUUGGCCCUUAGGCCAUGGUUUGCUGAUUGCUCAGACCAGUGCUCAACACUCCUUAGAUGGGCUCACUGGAUAUUUACUGAAUUCAAAAUCAAGAGUGUCCUGGAGACAGGCUUAGAAUCAGUGCCACUGAUCAGAAGAUGCAUGUGAGUUCUUGUAUCCCGCAAAGUGAAAGCUAUUCUUC
rnacentral:lncRNA from 1 species